GUGCGCUUUGUGUCCUUGCUCAGCUCAGCGGCUCACCAGUAAACGGCCCGUGUCCCCGAAAGUAACAGCUGUUGCCCUGAAGGGCCUCCGAAUGCAUAUUUUUCACGAGGGCACUAUUGGCCCGAUCUGCCAAUUUCUGCAUCGGCUCACCACCGGAAAAGGUGCUGCGGUUGGCAAGUAAAGGCCGAAAAUAACUGACAUUGGGGUGGGGCCGAGAGCUGUGACACAGCUGCUUUUAGAGGACGGUUCAAGUUGUGUGUGAAGCUGCAGCCAACUCAUUUCACUGUCUGGGAGACAUGGACAUGGCAGUUCCUCUGGUCGUGAAGGCCCAAUCUGUGGAGCAUCUCCUCCACCUCUGCGGCUCUGUUUGGGCAGAACACAUCAAACGAAUCCCCCGGCUCAUAGGCUAUCGUCGGAGAUGUCCAACUCUAAGAGAAGGCUGGUCUUGACUGAAUCUCCACUGGUCAGGUGCACCGCCCUGUUUAUGGGAACCUCGUGAAGACUUUCUUUGAUUGGCUGUUCAACAAUCUGGAAAAAAAACAAUAAAAUUAAGACAAAGACUAAACUAAGGAACAAUAUAUUUAUUUUAAUAAGCAGCAUCAUUCCUCACC